rfam:Clostridiales bacterium GWD2_32_59 gwd2_scaffold_695, whole genome shotgun sequence.
GUGGGUAUAGUUUAGUUGGUUAGAACGCUAGAUUGUGGUUCUAGAGGUCGUGGGUUCAACUCCCACUAUUCACC